AUUCACUCCCCCGCAGUUUUGAAUAAUAAUGAAAAACGAUAACUUUUGGAUUUUCACUGUCUAACCUUGGAGUCCACUUUCAAGUUCCUCUUUGGUCGCAAUCAAACAUAGUUUGUGAAUAGGUCUCUUGUAUAAGUUUCCCGCGCUAUCCCAUAUAGUUACACUUGGCACCAAGUUGUCUUGGCUUGGAUGAACUUCACGGACGAUCCCUUUCUUCCAGAAUCCCCUUCGCAGUGUUCCACCUUUUAACCCAGGGUGAAGAUUAAUAACAAAAUCCCC